rfam:Rattus norvegicus chromosome 6, whole genome shotgun sequence.
GGGGAUUUAGCUCAGUGGUAGAGCGCUUGCCUAGGAAGCGCAAGGCCCUGGGUUCAGUCUCCA